UACGGAGGGUGCAAGCGUUAUCCGGAUUCACUGGGUUUAAAGGGUGUGUAGGCGGGUAUUUAAGUCAGUGGUGAAAUCUCCAGGCUCAACCUGGAAACUGCCAUUGAUACUAUUUAUCUUGAAUCCUGUUGAGGUGGGCGGAAUAUAUCAUGUAGCGGUGAAAUGCUUAGAUAUGAUAUAGAACACCCGAUUGCGAAGGACAGCUCACUAAGCAGGUAUUGACGCUGAGGCACGAAAGCGUGGGGAUCAAGCAGG
rnacentral:rRNA from 1 species